UCGAACGGCAGCACGGACUUCGGUCUGGUGGCGAGUGGCGAACGGGUGAGUAAUGUAUCGGAACGUGCCUAGUAGCGGGGGAUAACUACGCGAAAGCGUAGCUAAUACCGCAUACGCCCUACGGGGGAAAGCAGGGGAUCGCAAGACCUUGCACUAUUAGAGCGGCCGAUAUCGGAUUAGCUAGUUGGUGGGGUAACGGCUCACCAAGGCGACGAUCCGUAGCUGGUUUGAGAGGACGACCAGCCACACUGGGACUGAGACACGGCCCAGACUCCUACGGGAGGCAGCAGUGGGGAAUUUUGGACAAUGGGGGAAACCCUGAUCCAGCCAUCCCGCGUGUGCGAUGAAGGCCUUCGGGUUGUAAAGCACUUUUGGCAGGAAAGAAACGUCAUGGGUUAAUACCCCGUGAAACUGACGGUACCUGCAGAAUAAGCACCGGCUAACUACGUGCCAGCAGCCGCGGUAAUACGUAGGGUGCAAGCGUUAAUCGGAAUUACUGGGCGUAAAGCGUGCGCAGGCGGUUCGGAAAGAAAGAUGUGAAAUCCCAGAGCUUAACUUUGGAACUG
rnacentral:rRNA from 1 species